rnacentral:rRNA from 1 species
UACAUGGGGUGCAAACGUUGCUCGGAAUUAUUGGGCGUAAAGCGCACAUAGGCAGUCCGUUAAGUCGGAUGUGAAAGCCCCCGGCUCAACCGGGGAAGUGCAUCCGAAACUGGCAGGCUAGAGUACGAAAGAGGGUCGCGGAAUUCCCGGUGUAGAGGUGAAAUUCGUAGAUAUCGGGAGGAACACCGGUGGCGAAGGCGGCGACCUGGAUCGAUACUGACGCUGAGGUGCGAAAGCGUGGGGAGCAAACAGA